rnacentral:rRNA from 1 species
AUGCCGCUUGAGUGCUGGAGAAAAAGCGCAAACGCGAUGCGUCGCUGGGCCGUAUCCCCCUCCCUUCCUCCUCCGGCGGCGUUUGCGGCCGCGACUCUCGGACUCGGCGUCGGGCCUCCUCAAGCCCGAGCCCUGGCUUCCGCUGCCACCUCCCCUCCACUCGGACACUGCUCUCCGCCAUGCCCCCGCCCCCGCCGCCGCCGCAGCCUGUGCUCCUCCUCCCCCUCCUCGGCUGCUAUGACGGCACUGGCGGUAGAGGAGGCGCGGCGCGGGCGGAAGCAGCUGGGCAUGGACCCGCCGCUCUACGACUACCUCCUCUCCAACGUCCGCGAGCACCCCGUGCUUCGGGAUCUGCGGGAAGAGACGGCAUCCAUGAGGGGGAGCCAGAUGCAGGUUUCUCCCGCACAGGCUCAGCUUCUGGCAAUGCUUGUGCAAAUUCUUGGUGCAGACCGAUGUAUUGAAGUUGGCGUCUAUACUGGAUAUUCGUCACUAGCUGUCGCAUUAGCACUUCCUGAAUCAGGUCGUUUGGUUGCUUGUGAAAGGGAUGAAAGGUCUCUAGAAGUUGCCAAGAGAUACUAUCAGCUUGCUGGGGUUGCACACAAGGUGGAUGUCAAGCAUACUUUAGCUGUAGAUUCCCUAAGGUCAUUGCUCGAAUGCGGUGAAGCUUCCAGUUAUGACUUUGCAUUCGUUGAUGCAGACAAGAGAAUGUACGAGGAAUAUUUUGAACUUCUACUUAAGCUAGUAAGAGUUGGUGGUUUAAUUGUAAUGGACAAUGUCCUAUGGUAUGGAAGGGUUGCUGAUCCGCUAGUGAAUGACCCAAAUACUAUCAGUAUAAGGGACUUCAAUAAGAAACUUUUGGAGGAUAAACGUGUCACUAUCAGCAUGGUGCCAAUUGGGGACGGGAUGACAAUUUGUCGAAAGCUAGAAGAUGACUGA